rnacentral:lncRNA from 1 species
GGAGUACAAUGGAGAUGAUGGAUAGAAGGUGGUGUUCUUAGGGGCAAGACAGAGGGGUAGCUAACAAGGGUAAAGCUAAUACACACCCUGCUGAAAAGUAAAGACAAGUUUCCAGACCUGAGCUAGUCCUUUGACCCAGAACCUGUUGUCUGAAGAUACGGCUGGUUUAAGGAAGGAUUCUUCUAUACCAUGGCAGGCUGUAAUAUUCCUUACUCUGUGAACUUCCCAUGGGAUCACAGCAUGAACUCAGGAUGCUCAGUGGUCUCCUGAGAGAGAGAGAGAAAGAGAAAGAACGAGAAGGAGGGGCGGAAGGAGAGAGAAUCUGCAGACUCCAGGCAGAGCGCAGAGCCUGA